rnacentral:rRNA from 1 species
GACGAACCGUGCGAACGUUGUUCGGAAUCACUGGGCUUAAAGGGCGCGUAGGCGGGGUGGACAGUCUAUGGUGAAAUCCUCCGGCUCAACCGGAGAACUGCCGUGGAUACUGCCACUCUUGAGGGGUGUAGGGGCAUGCGGAACUUCGGGUGGAGCGGUGAAAUGCGUAGAUAUCCGAAGGAACGCCGGUGGCGAAAGCGGCGUGCUGGACACCUUCUGACGCUGAGGCGCGAAAGCCAGGGGAGCAAACGGG